UACGAAGGGGGCUAGCGUUGUUCGGAUUUACUGGGCGUAAAGCGCGCGUAGGCGGACGUUUAAGUCAGGGGUGAAAUCCCAGGGCUCAACCCUGGAACGGCCUUUGAUACCGGACGUCUGGAGAUCGGGAGAGGUUGGUGGAAUUCCGAGUGUAGAGGUGAAAUUCGUAGAUAUUCGGAGGAACACCAGAAGCGAAGGCGGCCAACUGGCCCGAUACUGACGCUGAGGCGCGAAAGCCAGGGGAGCAAACGGG
rnacentral:rRNA from 1 species